GAUGAACGCUGGCGGCGUGCCUAAUACAUGCAAGUCGAGCGAACAGACGAGGAGCUUGCUCCUCUGACGUUAGCGGCGGACGGGUGAGUAACACGUGGAUAACCUACCUAUAAGACUGGGAUAACUUCGGGAAACCGGAGCUAAUACCGGAUAAUAUAUUGAACAGCAUGGUUCAAUAGUGAAAGACGGUUUUGCUGUCACUUAUAGAUGGAUCCGCGCCGCAUUAGCUAGUUGGUAAGGUAACGGCUUACCAAGGCAACGAUGCGUAGCCGACCUGAGAGGGUGAUCGGCCACACUGGAACUGAGACACGGUCCAGACUCCUGCGGGAGGCAGCAGUAGGGAAUCUUCCGCAAUGGGCGAAAGCCUGACGGAGCAACGCCGCGUGAGUGAUGAAGGUCUUCGGAUCGUAAAACUCUGUUAUUAGGGAAGAACAAAUGUGUAAGUAACUAUGCACGUCUUGACGGUACCUAAUCAGAAAGCCACGGCUAACUACGUG
rnacentral:rRNA from 1 species